rnacentral:pre_miRNA from 1 species
AGGAGGAAAAACUUCAGUGGUGGCAUCCAGCUCUGGAGCCCUGGAGUCAGCUCCCACAGUAACUACAGAGCUCUCCAUCUGCAGGGGCCUGGAUGCUCUGGGGGCGG